GCCUGUCUCUGGCGCCAUCUUGUCCCCUCAUUGUAGGAUUGUGUUUUUUUUCCUUCCGUUGAGGCUUCGCUUCUCCUGAGAUUCCGUUCGUGUUGUCGCCAUGGGGAGGAAGAAGAAGAAGCAGCUGAAGCCCUGGUGCUGGUAUCCUUCUCUGUGGGACGGUGUGGGCUGUGUGUUUAUAAUAUAUUGAUGGCGGGGUCUGUUACU